rnacentral:misc_RNA from 1 species
GAUGAAGAACGUAGCGAAAUGCGAUAAGUAAUGUGAAUUGCAGAAUUCAGUGAAUCAUCGAAUCUUUGAACGCACCUUGCGCCCUUUGGCUAUUCUGAAGGGCAUGCCUGUUUGAGUAUCAUGAACACCUCAACUCUCAUGGUUUGCCAUGAUGAGCUUGGACUUUGGGGGUCUUGCUGGCCUACGGUCGGCUCCUCUCAAAUGAAUCAGCUUGCCAGUGUUUGGUGACAUCACGGGUGUGAUAACUAUCUACGCUUGUGGUUUCCCGCCAGGUAACCUUCAGUGAUGGAGGUUCGCUGGGGCUCAUAAAUGUCCCUCCACAGUGAGGACAGCUUUUGAACGUUUGAUCUCAAAUCAGGUAGGACUACCCGCUGAACUUAAGCAUAUCAAUAAGCGGAGGA